rnacentral:misc_RNA from 1 species
AACUUUCAGCAACGGAUCACUUGGUUCUGGCAUCGAUGAAGAACGCAGCGAAAUGCGAUAAGUAAUGUGAGUUGCAGAAUUCAGUGAAUCAUCGAAUCUUUGAACGCACAUUGCGCCCCUUGGUAUUCCGAGGGGCAUGCCUGUUCGAGCGUCAUUAUAACCACUCAAGCCUCGGCUUGGUCUUGGGGUUCGCGGUCUCGCGGCUCUUAAAAUCAGUGGCAGUGCCGUCUGGCUCUAAGCGUAGUAAUUCUCUCGCUAUAGAGUUCCGGUGGUUACUUGCCAAAACCCCUAAUUUUUUAACGGUUGACCUCGGAUCAGGUAGGGAUACCCGCUGAACUUAAGCAUAUCAAUAAGCGGAGGCU